UGCAGAAUCCCGCGAACCAUCGAGUCUUUGAACGCAAGUUGCGCCCGAGGCCACUCGGCCAAGGGCACGCCUGCCUGGGCGUCACGCCAAAACACGCUCUCAACCACCCUCAAUGGGAAUCGGGAAGCGGCAUAUGGUCCCUCGUCCCGCAAGGGGCGGUGGGCCGAAGAUCGGGUUUGCCGGCGGGAAACGUCGGACACAGCGCAUGCUGGGCGUUCUUGCUUUAUCAACGCAGUGCAUCCGAUGCAUAGCCGGCGUGAUGGCCCCUAAAGGACCCAGCAAACGAAGCGCACGUCGCUUCGACCGCGACCCCAGGUCAGGCGGGACUACCCGCUGAGUUUAAGCAUAUAAAUAAGCGGAGGAGAAGAAACUUACAAGGAUUCCCCUAGUAACGGCGAGCGAACCGGGAGCAGCCCAGCUUGAGAAUCGGGCGGCCGUGCCGUCCGA
rnacentral:rRNA from 1 species